GGGAGUUCUGCUCAGAUGGCGGAUGGGCACCAGUCUGUAAAACUGGCACUUUGAUACUCAAUAGGUUCGAAUCCUAUAGCUCCCA
rnacentral:tRNA from 1 species